rnacentral:rRNA from 1 species
UGGGGAAUAUUGCACAAUGGGGGGAACCCUGAUGCAGCGACGCCGCGUGAGUGAAGAAGUAUUUCGGUAUGUAAAGCUCUAUCAGCAGGGAAGAAAAAAGACGGUACCUGACUAAGAAGCCCCGGCUAACUACGUGCCAGCAGCCGCGGUAAUACGUAGGGGGCAAGCGUUAUCCGGAAUUACUGGGUGUAAAGGGUGCGUAGGUGGCAUGGUAAGUCAGAAGUGAAAGCCCGGGGCUUAACCCCGGGACUGCUUUUGAAACUGUCAUGCUGGAGUGCAGGAG